CGGCACGUAGCGCAGCCUGGUAGCGCACCGUCAUGGGGUGUCGGGGGUCUGAGGUUCAAAUCCUCUCGUGCCGACCA
rnacentral:tRNA from 1 species